AUACUUACCUGGCAGGGGAGAUACCAUGAUCACGAAGGUGGUUUUCCCAGGGCGAGGCUUAUCCAUUGCACUCCGGAUGUGCUGACCCCUGCGAUUUCCCGAAAUGUGGGAAACUCGACUGCAUAAUUUGUGGUAGAGGGACUGUAUUCUCGCUUUCCCAU
rnacentral:snRNA from 1 species